GAUGAACGCUGGCGGCGUGCCUAAUACAUGCAAGUCGAGCGAACAGACGAGGAGCUUGCUCCUCUAACGUUAGCGGCGGACGGGUGAGUAACACGUGGAUAACCUACCUAUAAGACUGGGAUAACUUCGGGAAACCGGAGCUAAUACCGGAUAAUAUAUUGAACCGCAUGGUUCAAUAGUGAAAGACGGUUUUGCUGUCACUUAUAGAUGGAUCCGCGCCGCAUUAGCUAGUUGGUAAGGUAACAGCUUACCAAGGCAACGAUGCGUAGCCGACCUGAGAGGGUGAUCGGCCAAACUGGAACUGAGACACGGUCCAGACUCCUACGGGAGGCAGCAGUAGGGAAUCUUCCGCAAUGGGCGAAAGCCUGACGGAGCAACGCCGCGUGAGUGAUGAAGGUCUUCGGAUCGUAAAACUCUGUUAUUAGGGAAGAACAAAUGUGUAAGUAACUAUGCACGUCUUGACGGUACCUAAUCAGAAAGCCACGGCUAACUACGUG
rnacentral:rRNA from 1 species